GUAGUUGUGGCCGAGUGGUUAAGGCGUUGGGCUUGAAAUCCAUUGGGGUCUCUCCUUUCCAGCGGUUCAAAUCCUGCCAACUACG